UGGAAUAUCUACAUAGAUGUACAGAGGCCCAUUAUCAGCAACCAUCACUCCUGUGUUCCAAUGGCACGUUGUGUUAGCUAAUCCAAGUUUAUCAUUUUUAAAGGCUAAUUGAUCAUUAGAAAACCCUUUUGCAAUUAUGUUAGCACAGCUGAAAACUGUUGUUCUGCUUAAAGAAGCAAUACAACUGGCCUACUUUAGACUAGUUGAGUAUCUGGAGCAUCAGCAUUUGUGGGUUCAAUUACAGGCUCAAAAUGGCCAGAAACAAAUAACUCUCUUCUGAAACUCGUCAGUCUACUCUUGUUCUGAGAAGUGAAGGCUAUUCCAUGCGAGAAAUUGCUAAGAAACUGAAGAUCUUGUACAACACUGUGUACUACUCCCUUCACAGACUAGUGCAAACUGGCUCUAACCAGAAUAGAAAGAGGAGUGGGAGGCCCCGGUGCACAACUGAGCAAGAGGACAAGUACAUUAGAGCAUCUGUUUCUCAAACUGAUAAACUUGGAUUAGUUAACACAACGUACCAUUGGAACACAGGAGUGAUGGUUGCUGAUAAUGGGCCUCUGUACGCCUAUGUAGAUAUUCCAUUAAAAAUCAGCCGUUUCCAGCUACAAUAGUCAUUUACAACAUUAACAAUGUCUACACUGUAUUUCUGAACAAUUUGAUGUUAUUUUAAUGGACAAAACAUGUGCUUUUCUUUCAAAAACAAGGACAUUUCUAAGUGACCCCAAACUUUUGAACGGUAGUGUAUACACUGAGUGUAAAAAACAUUAGGAACAGGUGAAUCCAGGUGAAAGCUAUGCUCCCUUAUUGAUGUCUUCUGUUAAAUGCACUUCAAUCAGUGUAGAUGUAGGGGAGGAGAUGGGUUAAAGAAGGAUUUUUAAGCCUUGAGAAAUGGAUUGUGUAUCUGUGCCAUUCAGAGAGUGAAUGGGCAAGACAAAAUAUUUAAGUGCCUUUGAACGUGUAUGGUAGGAGUUGCCAGGCGCACUGAUUUGAGUGUGUCAAGAACUGCAACGCUGCUGGGUUUUUCACACUCAACAGUUUCCCGAGCGUAUCAAGAAUGUUCCACCACCCAAAGGACAUCCAGCCAACUUGACAACUAUUGGAAGCAGUGGAGUCAACAUGGGCCAGCAUCCCUGUGGAAUGCUUUCGACACCUUGCAGAGUUCAUCCCCCAACGCAUUGAGGCUGUUCUGAGGGCAAAUGGGGUGCAACUCAAUAUUAGGAAGGUGUUCCUAAUGAUUUGUGCACUCUGUGUAUAUUACUUGGGGAUUCUUCAUCACAAAUACCAGAAAGUGACAAUUGUUAAUAAUUAAUUUCAAGUAAUUACCAGAAAGAAUGAUGCUAUUACCAUGUAGUUACAAAGUAAAUACUUGGCAAUAAGGGAGCAUAAAAUAAAGUUUUACCUAAAUGGACAAAAUAAACCUAAUCCCUGUAUGGAUCACUACAGCAUAAGCAAUGUAGUUUCCAAGUUUAACUCUAGUGGACUUGGUAGACUAUAUAAAAGAAGCAGUCAAAAAAACAGACAUUGGAAGGUGGAACUAAGACAAUACACCAUGUAAUCCAUUUUGAGAUGCAUUGAGAGAUAGGGGAAAUCAACAACUUUUUGCAAACAUCGAAUUAUAAAACGGAGUCUUCUCUAUUAAGGACUAAACCAAUGACAUCGGGGACUGUUUUUGAACAACGGACAGCUGAGCAACCAUUAUAUUUGCCUUUAAAUUCUUUUGAAACUAAAAUGCUUUAAAUGAGGCUUUCUUUAUUCUUGUAAUUUCUUGUCAUCUUAAUUUGACUCAUGUACCAUAUUUUGCUGGCUUGCAUAGUGUGUAUCAAUCUGGCUAAAAAUGACAUGGGCAAUGAUUUUGUGUCUGUCUUUAUUUGACUGUACUAUAUUCAAUUUAUGUUUAUAGAAGCCCAUACUAAAGAUAUGAAUGUCAAAUCCAAAUGUUGCCUUUCAAGUUGUUAUCAAAAUUAUAUUGUCAUAUUUACGUAUCAAUGGCAUAUAUCCACUCGUUUUGACAAGUUCUGUGCUGGUAUAAAAAGGGUCUUCUUGAUUUGUGCUCUUACUACAGAUAGUUGUGGUCCACCUCACUUGAGCCCUCUGUCAAAACAACAGGUGGUGUAGUUAUGAAGACUUAUUUCCAC
rnacentral:lncRNA from 1 species